rfam:Macaca mulatta chromosome 1, whole genome shotgun sequence.
AUAUACCACAGUUUGUUUGACCAUUAACCUGUUUGUUGAAGAUGCCUUUCAACGGGUGACUGGUUAGACAAACUGUGGUAUAU